AUGGGGCCCGAUCGACACCAGCAGCCGGUGGAUGGGAUCGCUGCCCCGCUCUCGCCGUCGUUGCCCCAUUGGUGGAGGCCCGGUCAGCACCUGCAACCGGCAGAUGGGAUCGCCGCCCCGCCCCUCGCCGUCGUUGCCCCAUCUGUGGAACACCUCGUGGCUGGGGUUGUGCCGCCCAUGGCGACCAACCAGCUCACCCUCUUUUUCCAUGGCGAGUUGCAUUCCAGGCAGAUGGACUCGCACAGUGUCCAAGCCGUGCUUUUGCUGCUUGGAGGGAGAGAGCUGAGCAGGCUGGGUGGAGCAUCGUCCUCUACACCUUAUAGUAAGCUGUUCUGUUUGCCUUAUCACUAGGAAAGCAGUACACUGGAUGGGAGCAUGUUUCUGAUCGACAGCUAAUUAUUUGGCUUCAUUCAAGAUUGUGAUGAUUUGUAGUACUGAAUUGGAGGCUUCGAUCCCCUGCAAUUUAUGUGCUACAAGUAAGGGUUUUGUGUGAGAAGGCGAAUGAGAUUCUAAUGGAGGAAAGAAAUGUUCAGUGCCACCUGAGCUCGCCCACGCUAUGCAUGGAAGGAGCGGCCGCAAAGCUCGCCCCAAAUCUGCCUUGCCCCUGCCCCGGCUCUCAAUCCCGCCAUCCUCCAAUCCGCCGAUACCAGCACCCUUCAAUCGGCCAAUCGGCUAUGUCUGUGUUUGCUGAUUUAAAUAUUAUGUUCUCACACAGGCAGCUCAAAAAGACAGAAGAGGUAAGCAGCUUCAAGAUGAGGCCUAAGUAUCGUGAAGAACGGAUCAAAAGACUGGAGCAGGUUGUUUCAAGGAAGUUACCUGUUGAAUCAUAUCUUUUACAAGAGAAGGAAAACCUUGUAAAGGAAUUAGAAGUCUAACGGGGUCAAUUAGAUCGUAAUCCGAAAAUUACAAAAAUUGUAAUGGAGAAUCUACAAUUAAAGGAAGAGCUACCAAGAACUGGAGAAGCACAUUGAAGACAUGCAUGUCCGGAUUACCACCCCAUUCCACCCAGCUUAUGUCACUGCAGAGAGGAUAAAGAAGGCGAAGAAUCUUGAGUUUCUUCUCACGGCAGGAAUCGGCUCCGAUCAUAUUGAUCUUCCAGCAGCUGCUGCUGCGGGCUUAACUGUGGCUGAGGUCACUGGAAGCAACACUGUCUCUGUGGCAGGAGAUGAGCUCUUGCGCAUUCUGAUUCUGCUCAGGAACUUCUUGCCUGGGUACCAACAGGUAGUUCAAGACGAAUGGAACGUAGCAGGCAUUGCCCACAGAGCUUAUGAUCUUGAAGGAAAAACUGUUGGGACUGUUGGGGCUGGUCGUAUUGGCAGGCUCUUGCUUCAGCGUCUUAAGCCCUUUAACUGCAACCUACUUUACCAUGACAGACUUCAGAUUGACCCAGAGCUUGAGAAAGAAAUUGGGGUCAAAUUUGAGGAGGACCUGGAUGCUAUGCUUCCAAAGUGUGAUGUGAUUGUGAUCAACACACCUCUUACGGAGAAAACAAGAGGCAUGUUUAACAAAGAGAGGAUUGCAAAGAUGAAGAAAGGUGUAAUUGUUGUGAAUAAUGCUCGAGGAGCAAUCAUGGAUGCUCGAGCAGUCGCAGAUGCAUGUUCUAGCGGUCACAUUGCUGGUACUUACUACGUUAAUAUGUUUUCUUUGUCUCUUUACACAACAAUAUUGCUACAUAAGUUAGUCUAA